AUUAUUUUACAAUAUUACUAAUUACUAAACAAAUUUACAAAUUAAUACUAGAAUUACAAAUCGGUAUUAAAGAAUGUAGAAUUAUAAAUUUUAAAAUAAAAAAAAAAGAAUUAAUUGUCUUAACUCUUAACCUUAACCAUUUGAUUUGAAAAAGAGUAAAUGAUCCAACCAAUGAGAUUUUGAAAUCCAUGUGCUUGGUCACUCUUGAUGUUCAUUGGUCAAAAAAAAUUGUCAAGGAUCAUGAUUUGAGACCAUUGAUUAGCUAAUAUUAAAUCUGAGCCAUUUAUUUCUUUAAUCUCUAGAAUCAGAAAUCUGAAAUAAACUCACUAAAAUCUUAGCCAUUCAAGCUCAAAAUCCAACGGUUGAUAUUAAACCCAAAUGUAACCCUAAACCUCCUCCCUAAUCCCUACUAUAUAAACCUUCUUUUAAACUCAACCUCAUUUCUUCGCCUCUCAUUCUCUCUCAUUCCCUCUCAAUCUCUCAUUCAGUCACUCUUUCUCGUUCUUUCCCUUUCAAACCCUAAAAAAAUCUUAUUUCGAUCAAUCUCUCUGAGUCUCUUACUCUCUCAUUUUCGAUCUCUAUCUUAUUUUCUUCGCCUCUUUCAGAUUUUUUCGUUUAUCUUAAUUACAGUUUACGGGUUUGUGUUUUCUUGAUUUCUUUUCUAGGUUUUUGAAUUUUGGUGAAGAAGUGACGAAGUGAAGAACUGAAGAUCUGAAGAAGAAGAAGAAGACGUUGAUCUGAGGAAAAAAAGAAGUGUUGAUCUUCGGAAAAAAAGAAGCCAAAAAAAGAAAAAGAAGCAAGUUUAUCUUUUGUCAUAUAAACCAGUGGGUAAUUUCAAAGAAACAAGAGAAUUAUCACAAGAUUGCUGCUGCUGAUGACUUUGAAAUGCAUUCAGAAGUGUGAAGAUAUUUCCAAAGAACAUACUUAUCAAUUUAUUACUUGUAUUUAGGAUGCCAUUUUUGUCUUUUUUUUGCAGUUCUUCAAAUUUAGAAAGUAUUUUUCUGCUAUGUAUUAUGUAUUACUAAUUGUGAAUCUUUGUAAUUACAUUCACAUUGAUGAAAUAUAAAUAUUAUGAUUUUGUGA